rnacentral:rRNA from 1 species
UACGGAGGGUGCAAGCGUUAUCCGGAUUCACUGGGUUUAAAGGGCGCGUAGGUGGUUGUAUAAGUUGGAUGUGAAAUCCCUGGGCUUAACCUAGGAACUGCAUUCAAGACUGUAUGACUAGAGUACUGUAGAGGGUAGUGGAAUUUCCGGUGUAGCGGUGAAAUGCGUAGAGAUCGGAAGGAACACCAGUGGCGAAGGCGGCUACCUGGACAGAUACUGACACUGAGGCGCGAGAGCGUGGGGGAGCAAACAGGG